GGCAGAAUACAUUGGACAGGGGUUGGUGCGUUCGAAGAAACUUGCUGUAGUUGAUGUUGAACAUAUACUAUAGAUGAUGAAAAGGAAAAUGACAUAGAUGAUUCAGUAGAGUUGAAGAAAAUGAUCUCUUUGUUGCAAGAAGAGAAAAAUCAGAUGCAGAAACAGAUUGACAGUCUUACAGAAAACAAACGAAGAAGAGAAACAGACUCCCAAAAUAAUCAGGGAAAGUGGAAUGUUGGUGAUACAGUCAGGGCAGAAUGGUGCGACAAUGAAUUUUACACUGCCAAAGUACAGAAAGUGGAAACAA
rnacentral:lncRNA from 1 species